rnacentral:rRNA from 1 species
UGUAACUCGGUGCCAGAUGCCGCGUGAAUACUGCGGGGUCUAGCGUUGUUCGGUUGCAUUGGGGGGAAAGGGUGCGUAGGCGGCGCGGUAAGUCGGGUGUGAAAUCUCGGGGCUUAACUCCGAAACUGCAUUCGAUACUGCCGUGCUUGAGGACUGGAGAGGAGACUGGAAUUUACGGUGUAGCGGUGAAAUGCGUAGAUAUCGUAAGGAAGACCAGUGGCGAAGGCGGGUCUCUGGACAGUUCCUGACGCUGAGGCACGAAGGUCAGGGGAGCAAACGGGAUUAGAUACCCCGGUAGUC